rnacentral:rRNA from 1 species
GAUGAACGCUAGCGGCAGGCUUAACACAUGCAAGUCGAGGGGUAGGAGAAGCUUGCUUUUCUGAGACCGGCGCACGGGUGCGUAACGCGUAUGCAAUCUACCUUUCACAAAGGGAUAGCCCAGAGAAAUUUGGAUUAAUACCUUAUAGUAAUACGCCUUGGCAUCAAGAUGUAUUUAAAGAUUUAUCGGUGAAAGAUGAGCAUGCGUCCCAUUAGCUAGUUGGUAUGGUAACGGCAUACCAAGGCAACGAUGGGUAGGGGUCCUGAGAGGGAGAUCCCCCACACUGGUACUGAGACACGGACCAGACUCCUACGGGAGGCAGCAGUGAGGAAUAUUGGACAAUGGGCGCAAGCCUGAUCCAGCCAUGCCGCGUGCAGGAUGACGGUCCUAUGGAUUGUAAACUGCUUUUAUACAGGAAGAAACACCUCUACGUGUAGAGACUUGACGGUACUGUAAGAAUAAGGAUCGGCUAACUCCGUGCCAGCAGCCGCGGUAAUACGGAGGAUCCAAGCGUUAUCCGGAAUCAUUGGGUUUAAAGGGUCCGUAGGCGGUCAGAUAAGUCAGUGGUGAAAGCCCAUCGCUCAACGGUGGAACGGCCAUUGAUACUGUCUGACUUGAAUUAUUAGGAAGUAACUAGAAUAUGUAGUGUAGCGGUGAAAUGCUUAGAGAUUACAUGGAAUACCAAUUGCGAAGGCAGGUUACUACUAAUUGAUUGACGCUGAUGGACGAAAGCGUGGGUAGCGAACAGGAUUAGAUACCCUGGUAGUCCACGCCGUAAACGAUGGAUACUAGCUGUUGGGAGCAAUCUCAGUGGCUAAGCGAAAGUGAUAAGUAUCCCACCUGGGGAGUACGAACGCAAGUUUGAAACUCAAAGGAAUUGACGGGGGCCCGCACAAGCGGUGGAGCAUGUGGUUUAAUUCGAUGAUACGCGAGGAACCUUACCAAGGCUUAAAUGUAGUUUGACCGGUUGGAAACAG